rnacentral:tRNA from 11 species
CGGAUCUGCUAAGAAUCGAACUCAGAACUUCUCGGACGACACAUGAGCGUGUUAUCCACUACACAGACUC